UACGAAGGGGGCUAGCGUUGCUCGGAAUGACUGGGCGUAAAGAGCGCGUAGGCGGUUUGGUUAGUUAGGCGUGAAAUUCCUGGGCUCAACCUGGGGGCUGCGCUUAAUACAGCCAGACUAGAGUGUGAAAGAGGGUCGUGGAAUUCCCAGUGUAGAGGUGAAAUUCGUAGAUAUUGGGAAGAACACCGGUGGCGAAGGCGGCGACCUGGUUCAUUACUGACGCUGAGGCGCGAAAGCGUGGGGAGCAAACAGG
rnacentral:rRNA from 1 species